AAAGAACCACUUUAGUAUUAUACAGAACCAUUGUUUGUUAGAGUGUACAGUGACAGCAAUGUAUAUGGACUAAUUCAAUUAAAAACAGAUAUUUAUUGUGGAAUAAACUGGAAUAAAUAUGUAUAUUCUUUAAUUUCAAUAAUAUCCCUGUGUGUCUUCAGCUAAACAUGUCACAAGAAUAGAGAAAACUACAGUAGUUUUGAUAUUAGUUUUUGUGCUGUCUGGAAAGAACAGUAGUCUACUUCAUUAUGCAGGGGAACUUUUAAAUUGAGCUCAUUUAGAGUCUGUGUGGAAUUGUUUUGAACGCAUUGACCGUAGUUUGGUGACAUGGGGAAAGUGAUCAGGAAAAACAUGUUCAGAGAGCACCGUUUGUGAACACGGGCUUAGUUUAGGGGGGAUUUCCAAAAUAUCACCUUGUUGAAAUUACUGAACAACACUGUGAUGUAUUUUCAUCUCUUUUUAAGAGCUUUGCUAAUCAUGUCAAACAUUUGUUACGCUGUAUAGUAAAUGUCUCAAUAUGUUUUUUUUUUCAAAGGAGCCUAUAAAAGAUGAAGUUUGUUUUGAUCGCUGUGCUUCUCCAGCUGUGCCUCUCUGUGCUGGACGUCAACGCUGGUAAAGGAGCAGCAGCUGGAGGAGAAAAAGAUAUACUACCAGGAGUAGAAGUUAAUAAAAAAGAGCUUGAAUUUGGGGACCUGCUUGUAAUUUCAGAUAAAAAGUUAAGUCACUAUGCUGUAUAUGUUAAUGGCGAGCAGUUUGAUGGAAAGAAAAAGAAUGACAACAUUUUUGAGAUGACAAACAAUCCACCUGGCUGCCAAUUCAGUGAAUUCAAUGAGCCAUUUAGAAGACACAAUUAUUUAGACAAAGAUAUUAAACCAAAAGGCAAGAGAGUGGAACCACAGACCAAGGAGAAAAUGAUAUCCACCAUUAAAGAGCUCAUGGAAAAGGACGUGUGUAAAACAUAUAGUUUAACUAGUGGAAAUUGUGAACAGAUUGCCACAAAGGUUCGGUAUGGUACAACCAGCUGCAAACAGGUAUGGCAUAGAGGAAAUGUUAAAAUCGAUCAU
ensembl:lncRNA